rnacentral:lncRNA from 1 species
UCGGUCGCGCGCAGGGACAUAAACACAAGCUUGGCUCAUCGUUCGAAACUACACUAAUCUCAAACUUCCUACGAUUUGUAUAUACACGUGCGCGGUACAAUUAACUUUGCAAGAUGUUUGAUAAAUAAUUACGGUUAGUUGGUUAUUAACCAAAAAAAAGACUUAUUGUUGCAAAUUGAAUAAUCCAUUAUUAAUAACUGAAAAAACUGAACGUCGCGUCUCUGGAAUUUCUCUGUGACCUAUUAUAUUCAUGUAGGAUUGGAAAAAAUACAGUAUCAGAAAUACAUUUGCAAAUCAAA